ACACAGUGGAGGCAAAUCUUUUCAAUGUGAGGUAUGUGGGAAAGCCUUUCCUUUCCUAGCUUUUUUGAGGAGACAUGAAGAGACUCAUUCUAGAAAGAAAUUCUAUGAAUAUAAACAAGGUGAUCAAAGCUUCAUUACACUCACAAGUCUUCCAACUCACACGAUAAGGCACCGUGGGAAUACACGUUUUAAAUGCAAGCUAUGUGGGAAACAAUUUGCUCAUCCCUGUUUAUUCAGAAUACACCAGAGAACACAUACUGGAGAGAAACCCUAUGAAGGUAAACGAUGUGGAAAAGCCUUUGCUAGAUCCCAUCAGCUUCAUAAACAUGGAAAAACUCACACUGGAAAGAGGCCCUAUGCAUGUAAGCAGUGUGGCAAGUCCUUCACUCAGUCCUCUUAUCUUCUAAACCAUGAAAGAACACAUAAUGGAGAUAACCCGUAUGAAUGUAAGCAGUGUGGAAAAGCCUUUGGUAGAUCCGGGGAUCUUUACAGACACGAAAGAAUUCACACUGGAGAGAAGCCCUUUGAAUGUAAUCAGUGUGGCAAAGCCUUCACUCAGUCCUCUCAUCUUCUAAACCAUAAAAGAACGCAUACUGGAGAGAAGCCCUAUGAAUGCAAACAAUGUGGAAAAGCCUUUGCUAGAUCCUGUCAAUUUCAAGUACAUGUAAGAACUCAUACAAGAGAGAAUCUCCAUGAAUGUAAGCAGUGUGGCAAAGCCUUCACUCAGUUCUCUGACCUUCAGAAACAUAGGAGAAGGCAUACUGGAGAGAAGCCUUUUGAAUGUAAGCAGUGUGGCAAAGCCUUUGCUACAUCCAGUGAUCUUUACAGACACGGAAAAACUCACACUGAAGAGAAGCCCUAUGCAUGUAAUCAGUGUGGCAAAGCCUACACUAAGUCCUCUAGUCUUCUAAACCAUAAAAGAACACAUACUGGAGAGAAGACCUAUGAAUGCAAACAAUGUGGAAAAGCAUUUGCUAGAUCCUGUAAAUUUCACGUACAUGUAAAAACUCAUACAAGAGAGAAGCUCCAUGAAUGUAAGCAGUGUGGCAAAGCCUUCACUCGGUCCUCUUACCUUCAAAAUCAUUUAAGAACACAUACUGGAGAGAGGCCCUAUGAAUGUGAGCAGUGUGGGAAAGCCUUCACUCAGUCCUCUCACCUUCAAACACAUAAAAGAACUCAUACUGGAGAGAGGCCAUAUGAAUGUAAACAAUGUGGCAAAGCCUUCACUCGGUCCUCUUACCUUCAAAAUCAUUUAAGAACACAUAGUGGAGAGAAGCCCUAUGAAUGUCAACAAUGUGGUAAAGCCUUUGCUACAUCCUCUAACCUUCACCAACAUGAAAAAUUGCAUAUUGUAGAGAAGCCCUAUGAAUAUCAAAAAUGUGAAAAGGCCUUUGCUACAUCACCUCAUCUUUACACACAUUGAAGAACACAUACUGUAGAGAGGUUUGCUCAUGAAAACAAUUGGCAAAGUCUACUGUUACUACUGUUUCCCUCAUAAAUAUGUAGUAAAUUU
rnacentral:lncRNA from 1 species